AUUCCAAAGAGUUUAUUGUUUAAAACCCACAUCCCCCAGCCCCACCCAUGUCCCUGAGGGGCACUGGACAGAGUUGCCUGGAAUUCAGCUGAUUUAAUGCCCCUGAGCCCAGGCUCCAGGCGAUGUUUUCAAGCAGGAGGAGGCAGGGGCUGGAGGUGCUCCCAGCCCAUUCCAGGGCAGCCCCGUGCACAUAGGAGGACAUCUCUCCAUGCAGAAGUUCAGUUCCUUUCAGGGCCUCAGCAGUGACCUCUGCAAGUUCUUUUCCCUCAGGAAAGGGGUGCACAUCCCUGCCUUCAGCACACCUCCAGUGGGACCAACCUGCAAAAGCUUUCCAUCCCUUCUGCACUUCCAGCUGGUUCCCUGAGAAAUUACCACCUUCAUCCAAACAAAACUUCAUCCCACACAUUUGAUUAAGGGGCUCCUGGUUUCCUCCUGCCCCACAUUCCCUGCCAGCUGAGACACCAAGGAACCUUGCUGGCAGUGAGCAGGAGCCGCUGAGAGGCCUCUCUGCAGCUCUGGGCCACAAAAGCAGCCCCAGCUUCAGCAGCUGCCACCAUUUUAGCAACACUCACCUGCAGCAAAUGCCCCCUGUCUCUCUCCAGAAGAAUUUUGGUCAUGCAGCAAGGGAAGCCUCAGGACCCAUCCUACUCUUUUCUCUCUGCAAAACAACAUUGCAAGAGCAAAUUUACAGCUGCUGGAUAAAUCCUGGAAAGGACAGGAAAAUCAGAGUUAUUGGUGCUGUUAUGUUGGCUGCCAGCCAGUUCUACCUUACAGCCACAGCAGGGGCUGGUGUGUAAAGCAGCUUUAGCAGAACAGAAGGAGCUGCGGUUCCCUUGCUGGUUCCAAGGAUUCCCAUGCUUGCGAGGUGCAUACUUGUGACCCAGAGAUUGGUUCAGUCAGUUGGACCCCAAUAUAUCCUGUGACCUGGAAAUAAAGAUGAAAAUUCAUAGCUGACUUUCAAUAAAGGAGGUCUUACCAUUA